rnacentral:rRNA from 1 species
UGACGGUACCUAACCAGAAAGCCCCGGCUAACUACGUGCCAGCAGCCGCGGUAAUACGUAGGKGGCAAGCGUUGUCCGGAAUUAUUGGGCGUAAAGCGCGCGCAGGCGGUCUUUUAAGUCUGAUGUGAAAGCCCMCGGCUCAACCGKGGAGGGUCAUUGGAAACUGGGRGACUUGAGUACAGAAGAGGARAGUGGAAUUCCACGUGUAGCGGUGAAAUGCGUAGAGAUGUGGAGGAACACCAGUGGCGAAGGCGACUUUCUGGYCURUAACUGACGCUGAGGCGCGAAAGCGUGGGGAGCAAACAGGAUUAGAUACCCUGGUAGUCCACGCCGUAAACGAUGAGUGCUAGGUGUYAGGGGUUUCGAUACCCUUAGUGCYGAAGUUAACACAUUAAGCACUCCGCC